rnacentral:lncRNA from 1 species
UCAUCUCCUCCAGAGUUAUAAGCCCCCCCUUCCCAUUUAAGGUCACCCCUUUCCUCUGAAGAGAUGGGGGGAGGGUGAUGGUGAAAAGAGAAUACUUUGGGGAAAGAAUGAGGACUUUCAGGGGUGGAGGCGGGGUGGAGAUGAAGAGGGAGGUGGAGGGACCAGGGCCUUGGUCGCUAGAGCUGGGGGGAGAGGAGUUUCAGGAAGGGGAGGGCAGGAGGGGCGCGAGGACCGCUCCCAGGGGGUGCGUUAUGCAACUCCAGUCACCUGUGAAGUGCCAUUCCCCCUUCAAGCUCAUUUUACAGAUGAGGAAACUGAGGCAGACAAGCUCUCUUAUAACUAAAGGUCCCUGGACGCUCCCACCCACACCCAACUCAGCCUGCCAGGUCCCAGUUCUGUUCUGACUGGGGAGCUCUCCUCCUCACCUGUCUCCCACUACACACCUGUGGGCAGAGCCCCUUCCAGGCCAUCAUGAAGCCGUUUCUGUCCUUCACUGUGCUGACUGUACUUCUGUACUUUUUGGCAGACAGCUCCAGCCCAGCUCAGGCUACCUCCUCGAGCAUGGCAGAGGGCUUUGAACAGUUCCAGCAUAAGGUGAAGGAGCUGGCGGAUACUGUGGCUCACAAGGCCAAGGAGGCCAUCACCAAGAUCCAGAACAGUGAAUUCUCCACUAAAACUAGGAACUGGUUCAGGGAGAAUUUCCAGAAAAUGAAAGAUAAAAUGGAUGCCACCUUCUCCAAGUAACAGCAGGAGGCUGUGCCUGUGGGCUCACCCCCCGCUGGGCUGUGCUCUCCCAGAAGCCAGUAUCCUUCCCACGUGAAGAAAGAGGCUUCUGAAUGUUCCUCCUUCCUUCUAUCUGCUCCCUCCAGCCCCUGACCCUCUGCUCACUGACUCUAAUAUAAUAAAGGUUUUAUAGCCCCUGGUAUAUGUGUGUGU